rnacentral:rRNA from 1 species
CUUCCGGGUUUCUCGUUGUUUUUCAUGCAUAUCGUGCGGAAACGAUGAUAGCUUGCUAUCAGGCGUCGAGCGGCGGACGGGUGAGUAAUACUUAGGAAUCUACCUAGUAGUGGGGGAUAGCUCGGGGAAACUCGAAUUAAUACCGCAUACGUCCUACGGGAGAAAGCAGGGGAUCAUUAGACCUUGCGCUAUUAGAUGAGCCUAAGUCGGAUUAGCUAGAUGGUGGGGUAAAGGCCUACCAUGGCGACGAUCUGUAGCUGGUCUGAGAGGAUGAUCAGCCACACCGGGACUGAGACACGGCCCGGACUCCUACGGGAGGCAGCAGUGGGGAAUAUUGGACAAUGGGGGGAACCCUGAUCCAGCCAUGCCGCGUGUGUGAAGAAGGCCUUUUGGUUGUAAAGCACUUUAAGCAGUGAAGAAGACUCUUCGGUUAAUACCCGGGGACGAUGACAUUAGCUGCAGAAUAAGCACCGGCUAACUCUGUGCCAGCAGCCGCGGUAAUACAGAGGGUGCAAGCGUUAAUCGGAAUUACUGGGCGUAAAGCGAGCGUAGGUGGCUUGAUAAGUCAGAUGUGAAAUCCCCGGGCUUAACCUGGGAACUGCAUCUGAAACUGUUAGGCUAGAGUAGGUGAGAGGGAAGUAGAAUUUCAGGUGUA